GGGGCACGUUCGUUAUCGUAUUCCUUUCUGCUCUUUGACGCUGCCGAGGAAGCAUCGCUGAAGGCUCUCGUAACUCUACCGUCAUGUCUAAGUCCGAGUCUCCCAAGGAGCCAGAACAGCUGCGGAAGCUCUUCAUCGGAGGGCUGAGCUUCGAAACAACCGACGAGAGUCUGAGGAGCCAUUUUGAGCAAUGGGGAACACUAACAGACUGUGUGGUAAUGAGAGAUCCAAACACCAAGAGAUCCAGGGGCUUUGGGUUUGUCACAUAUGCCACUGUGGAAGAAGUGGAUGCUGCCAUGAAUGCAAGACCACACAAGGUGGAUGGAAGAGUUGUGGAACCUAAGAGAGCUGUCUCAAGAGAAGAUUCUCAGCGACCAGGUGCCCACUUAACUGUGAAAAAGAUCUUUGUUGGUGGUAUUAAAGAAGACACUGAAGAACAUCACCUACGAGAUUAUUUUGAGCAGUAUGGGAAGAUUGAAGUGAUAGAAAUUAUGACUGACAGAGGCAGUGGGAAAAAGAGGGGCUUUGCUUUUGUUACCUUUGAUGACCAUGACUCUGUGGAUAAGAUUGUUAUUCAGAAAUACCAUACUGUGAAUGGCCACAACUGUGAAGUAAGAAAGGCUCUGUCGAAGCAAGAGAUGGCUAGUGCUUCAUCCAGUCAGAGAGGUCGCAGUGGUUCUGGAAACUUUGGUGGUGGUCGUGGAGGCGGUUUUGGUGGCAAUGACAAUUUUGGUCGAGGAGGGAACUUCAGUGGUCGUGGUGGCUUUGGUGGCAGCCGUGGUGGUGGUGGAUAUGGUGGCAGUGGGGAUGGCUAUAAUGGAUUUGGCAAUGAUGGAAGCAAUUUUGGAGGUGGUGGAAGCUACAAUGAUUUUGGCAAUUACAACAAUCAGUCUUCCAAUUUUGGGCCGAUGAAGGGAGGAAACUUUGGAGGCAGGAGCUCUGGCCCUUAUGGUGGUGGAGGCCAGUACUUUGCUAAACCACGGAACCAAGGUGGCUAUGGCGGUUCCAGCAGCAGCAGUAGCUAUGGCAGUGGCAGGAGGUUCUAAUUACAUACAGCCAGGAAACAAAGCUUAGCAGGAGAGGAGAGCCAGAGAAGUGACAGGGAAGCUACAGGUUACAACAGAUUUGUGAACUCAGCCAAGCACAGUGGUGGCAGGGCCUAGCUGCUACAAAGAAGACAUGUUUUAGACAAUACUCAUGUGUGUGGGCAAAAACUCCAGGACUGUAUUUGUGACUGACUAAUUGUAUAACAGGUUAUUUUAGUUUCUGUUCUGUGGAAAGUGUAAAGCAUUCCAACAAAAGGUUUUACUGUAGACCUUUUUCACCCAUGCUGUUGAUUGCUAAAUGUAAUAGUCUGAUCAUGACGCUGAAUAAAUGUGUCUUUUUUUUUUUUAAAAAAAAAAAAAAAAAAAGAAGUGGAAACAAAAA